rnacentral:rRNA from 1 species
GGGCCCGCACAAGCGGUGGAGCAUGUGGUUUAAUUCGAUGAUACGCGAGGAACCUUACCAGGGCUUAAAUGUAGUCUGACAGGGGUGGAAACACCUCCUCCUUCGGGCAGAUUACAAGGUGCUGCAUGGUUGUCGUCAGCUCGUGCCGUGAGGUGUCAGGUUAAGUCCUAUAACGAGCGCAACCCCUGCCGUUAGUUGCCAGCAUGUAAUGAUGGGAACUCUAACGGGACUGCCGGUGCAAACCGCGAGGAAGGUGGGGAUGACGUCAAAUCAUCACGGCCCUUACGUCCUGGGCUACACACGUGCUACAAUGGCCGGUACAGAGGGCAGCCACACCGCAAGGUGGAGCGAAUCCUUAAAACCGGUCUCAGUUCGGAUCGGGGUCUGCAACUCGGCCCCGUGAAGCUGGAAUUACUAGUAAUCGUGGAUC